CCUACGGGAGGCAGCAGUGGGGAAUUUUGGACAAUGGGGGCAACCCUGAUCCAGCCAUGCCGCGUGUGUGAAGAAGGCCUUCGGGUUGUAAAGCACUUUCGGACGGAACGAAAUCGCGCGGGUGAACAAUCCGCGUGGAUGCCGGUACCGUAGGAAGAAGCACCGGCUAACUACGUGCCAGCAGCCGCGGUAAUACGUAGGGUGCGAGCGUUAAUCGGAAUUACUGGGCGUAAAGCGUGCGCAGGCGGCGCCGCAAGUCAGGCGUGAAAUCCCCGAGCUUAACUUGGGAAUGGCGCUUGGAACUACGGUGCUGGAGUGUGGCAGAGGGAGGUGGAAUUCCACGUGUAGCGGUGAAAUGCGUAGAGAUGUGGAGGAACACCGAUGGCGAAGGCAGCCUCCUGGGCCAACACUGACGCUCAUGCACGAAAGCGUGGGGAGCAAACAGGAUUAGAUACCCUGGUAGUCCACGCCCUAAACGAUGAUGACUAGUUGUUGGGGGAGUUAAAUCCCUUAGUAACGCAGCUAACGCGUGAAGUCAUCCGCCUGGGGAGUACGGUCGCAAGAUUAAAACUCAAAGGAAUUGACGG
rnacentral:rRNA from 1 species